rnacentral:rRNA from 1 species
AGAGUUUGAUCAUGGCUCAGGACGAACGCUGGCGGCGUGCCUAAUACAUGCAAGUAGAACGCUGAAGAGAGGAGCUUGCUCUUCUUGGAUGAGUUGCGAACGGGUGAGUAACGCGUAGGUAACCUGCCUUGUAGCGGGGGAUAACUAUUGGAAACGAUAGCUAAUACCGCAUAACAAUGGAUGACCCAUGUCAUUUAUUUGAAAGGGGCAAAUGCUCCACUACAAGAUGGACCUGCGUUGUAUUAGCUAGUAGGUGAGGUAACGGCUCACCUAGGCGACGAUACAUAGCCGACCUGAGAGGGUGAUCGGCCACACUGGGACUGAGACACGGCCCAGACUCCUACGGGAGGCAGCAGUAGGGAAUCUUCGGCAAUGGGGGCAACCCUGACCGAGCAACGCCGCGUGAGUGAAGAAGGUUUUCGGAUCGUAAAGCUCUGUUGUAAGUCAAGAACGAGUGUGAGAGUGGAAAGUUCACACUGUGACGGUAGCUUACCAGAAAGGGACGGCUAACUACGUGCCAGCAGCCGCGGUAAUACGUAGGUCCCGAGCGUUGUCCGGAUUUAUUGGGCGUAAAGCGAGCGCAGGCGGUUUGAUAAGUCUGAAGUUAAAGGCUGUGGCUCAACCAUAGUUCGCUUUGGAAACUGUCAAACUUGAGUGCAGAAGGGGAGAGUGGAAUUCCAUGUGUAGCGGUGAAAUGCGUAGAUAUAUGGAGGAACACCGGUGGCGAAAGCGGCUCUCUGGUCUGUAACUGACGCUGAGGCUCGAAAGCGUGGGGAGCGAACAGGAUUAGAUACCCUGGUAGUCCACGCCGUAAACGAUGAGUGCUAGGUGUUGGAUCCUUUCCGGGAUUCAGUGCCGCAGCUAACGCAUUAAGCACUCCGCCUGGGGAGUACGACCGCAAGGUUGAAACUCAAAGGAAUUGACGGGGGCCCGCACAAGCGGUGGAGCAUGUGGUUUAAUUCGAAGCAACGCGAAGAACCUUACCAGGUCUUGACAUCCCGAUGCUAUUUCUAGAGAUAGAAAGUUACUUCGGUACAUCGGUGACAGGUGGUGCAUGGUUGUCGUCAGCUCGUGUCGUGAGAUGUUGGGUUAAGUCCCGCAACGAGCGCAACCCCUAUUGUUAGUUGCCAUCAUUCAGUUGGGCACUCUAGCAAGACUGCCGGUAAUAAACCGGAGGAAGGUGGGGAUGACGUCAAAUCAUCAUGCCCCUUAUGACCUGGGCUACACACGCGCUACAAUGGUUGGUACGACGAGUUGCGAGUCGGUGACGGCAAGCUAAUCUCUUAAAGCCAAUCUCAGUUCGGAUUGUAGGCUGCAACUCGCCUACAUGAAGUCGGAAUCGCUAGUAAUCGCGGAUCAGCACGCCGCGGUGAAUACGUUCCCGGGCCUUGUACACACCGCCCGUCACACCACGAGAGUUUGUAACACCCGAAGUCGGUGAGGUAACCUUUUGGAGCCAGCCGCCUAAGGUGGGAUAGAUGAUUGGGGUGAAGUCGUAACAAGGUA